GAUGAACGCUGGCGGCGUGCCUAAUACAUGCAAGUCGAGCGAACAGACGAGGAGCUUGCUCCUCUGACGUUAGCGGCGGACGGGUGAGUCACACGUGGAUAACCUACCUAUAAGACUGGGAUAACUUCGGGACACCGGAGCUUAUACCGGAUAAUAUAUUGAACCGCAUGGUUCAAUAGUGAAAGACGGUUUUGCUGUCACUUAUAGAUGGAUCCGCGCCGCAUUAGCUAGUUGGUAAGGUAACGGCUUACCAAGGCAACGAUGCGUAGCCGACCUGAGAGGGUGAUCGGCCACACUGGAACUGAGACACGGUCCAGAGUCCUACGCGAGGCAGCAGUAGGGAAUCGGCCGCAAUGGGCGAAAGCCUGACGGAGCAACGCCGCGUGAGUGAUGAAGGUCUUCGGAUCGUAAAACUCUGUUAUUAGGGAAGAACAAAUGUGGAAGUAACUAUGCACGUCUUGACGGUACCUAAUCAGAAAGCCACGGCUAACUACGUG
rnacentral:rRNA from 1 species